rnacentral:rRNA from 1 species
GACGAACGCUGGCGGCGUGCUUAACACAUGCAAGUCGAACGGAAAGGCCCUGCUUUUGUGGGGUGCUCGGGUGGCGAACGGGUGAGUAACACGUGAGUAACCUGCCCUUGACUUUGGGAUAACUUCAGGAAACUGGGGCUAAUACCGGAUAGGAGCUCCUGCUGCAUGGUGGGGGUUGGAAAGUUUCGGCGGUUGGGGAUGGACUCGCGGCUUAUCAGCUUGUUGGUGGGGUAGUGGCUUACCAAGGCUUUGACGGGUAGCCGGCCUGAGAGGGUGACCGGCCACAUUGGGACUGAGAUACGGCCCAGACUCCUACGGGAGGCAGCAGUGGGGAAUAUUGCACAAUGGGCGGAAGCCUGAUGCAGCAACGCCGCGUGCGGGAUGACGGCCUUCGGGUUGUAAACCGCUUUCGCCUGUGACGAAGCGUGAGUGACGGCAAUGGGUAAAGAAGCACCGGCUAACUACGUG